rnacentral:rRNA from 1 species
UACGUAGGGUGCGAGCGUUGUCCGGAAUUAUUGGGCGUAAAGGGCUCGUAGGCUGUUUGUCACGUCGGGAGUGAAAACUCGGGGCUUAACUCCGAGCCUGCUUCCGAUACGGGCUGACUAGAGGUAUGCAGGGGAGAACGGAAUUCCUGGUGUAGCGGUGAAAUGCGCAGAUAUCAGGAGGAACACCGGUGGCGAAGGCGGUUCUCUGGGCAGUACCUGACGCUGAGGAGCGAAAGUGUGGGGAGCGAACAGG